UCACUCUGGAUCCAGGAUCUGCUCAUUCAGACCUUGUUGUCUCUCGUGAAAAGACAAGUGUGACCUUGAAGGUCUCUUCUAACUCUGUAGAUACCUGCAGUGUACUGGGUUUUGAGGGCAUCACAUCAGGGCGCUGUUACUGGGAGGUGGAAAUCAGGGAUGAAGGCCAAAGCGAGUGGGCCCUGGGGGUCUGUAGGGAAGNGAGACCCCAGAAAAGGGGUUCUGGGUUGUGGGGAGGUUUGAAAAAGGAUAUUGUGCCUGUACUGCAAAGCAGACUCUGCUAUCCUUCAUGCAGGCUCCCCACCCCAGGCUUAGGAUGGGAGUGUUUCUGGAUUACCAGGAAGGGGAUGUCUCCUUCUACAACAUGACUGAUGGCUCCCACAUUUUCUCCUUCCCUCAGGCUUCCUUCUCUGGGACCCUCUUUCCAUACUUCAUGAUUAAUUCAGGAGACGUGUCCCUGACCGUCUGCUCCAAGGUGGGAGGGUCUGAGGGGCUCCCUGCUGCCCUUAGCAAUCCUUCUCUGGAGGAGCCUGUGAACCUCCCAGGGGCAGGGUUCAGCUCAGGCUCUGGUGCUGAAGGUCUCUCCGGGGCCGAGUGUCCCCUGCUCCCCUGCAACCCCGAGGCUGUGUCCCCCUAGGGCCUGUCACUGUGCUGGACCCUCACUGUGGCUCUUCCUGGAGCUUCAGACCCCUUGUGACAGAGGCCUCUGAGGUGCAGCCGGGUUGGUUGGGAGUCUCGCACUCCUGCUCUGGAGACAAGCUCUUGGGCUUGUGGUUAUGAGAAUUUUCAGUUCAUGCCAUGUGCUCAGGUAAUAGAUUACAAAAGUUGACUCUCUGAGCUGGUUUGGGGGUGGCCUGAAGUUUACUAUGGGACGUUGUUUUUCUUUUAGUAACGGAAAAUAUUUCAUGAAGUUUUUAUACUGUUUGGAUAUGCUAAAUGAUGAGAGGUUGAAUUACUCUGCAGACUAAUGUCGUGUUUUUGUUGUUGUUUAGUCUCUAAGUUGUGUCUAACUCUUUUGUGACCCUAUGGACUGAAGCCCACCAGGCUCCUCUGUUCACCAGACUUCCCAGGCAAAAAAUACUGGAAUGGAUUGCAGUUUCCUUCGUCAAGAGAUCUCCCCGACCCAAGGAUUGAACUCAGAUUUUCUCCAUUGGCUGGUGGAUUCUUUAAGGCUGAGCCACCAGGGAAGCCUGGUGGUGUUACUUUAUCCAAUUUGAGUUUUUUAAAUAGAACCCAGAGAGUGACGGUUGGUCCCCAGUUCUAUUUUGGAGGAUGGACACUAUCAAAUCAGAAAAGUUGGCCAGCCAAAAAUUUCCAGGGAAAUGGGUGGCUGAUGGAGUUUUAAGGAGUCUAACAUUUUACUUUUUGUAUUUCCUAUUCUGGGAUGGAUAAAACACACCCAUUUUCCCCAGAUCUCAGUAAAUUUUUGUUACCUGUAAAAAACCUGUGUUGUGUUCAUUUAAGGAGUUAAGGAGAAGGAUCUAGGUUUUUCAUUUCUGUUAACAGCAGCUGGAAAUAAGAGAACUGCGUUUGAAUUAAGAUGUAAAUGAAGAAGAGAAUUUUCAGAGGCAGGGUGAAUUGCAAAAAGCUUUGACCAAGAGCUGGAGCCAUGGUCAUUGUAUGCCCCUUAUCAUUGUAUUGCCCCUCUGAGCUUCCAAGUCCAAUGGUAAUGGUUAAUGGAAAAACAGCCAGCUUCAGGCAACUCAGUGCCUGUGGGACCCCGGGGCCUGGGCAGGGUUGGUGGGGCGGGUUCUGCAAGCACGGCACCAGAUGAAGUGAGCUGUGAGGCUCGAGGGAACAACGAGUGCUGGUCAAGUUUAAAAAUGACUUACGUGGAUCAUCAGAAUCUCAUUUGUGGUUUUCCAGACAUUAAAGAAAAUGAAUAGAGUGGGAAAUUUCUUUGGAGGUACUUCAUACUGGAUACUAGAGGAGAUAGUUUUGUAUGAUACAUGGAUAAUCCACAGAACCUACCUUCUGGAUUGAGAAUUGUGGAGCCAUUAAAAAAAAAAUGGAUUCAACAGGGAAGUUCUCUAAUUUACCUACAUUUCAAAGUUAUGAAUGCAGGGAUGAGGGACUAUUUUCUAUAAGCCAAUGAUCAGCAGGGCCUAGUAGAAUGGAUAAAUGUGUUGAACAAAGCUGUAAAAGUUACAAUAUCAAAGCAGUCAGUAUCACAGCCUCAUUCUGAUAACAGGUCACCAAGGUAAAUAUGGGAAGAAGCAAAUGUCUUACAGAACUGACACUGUUGGUAGAGUGGCCAUCAUUACUGCAACUCAAAAAGAAGCAAGUGAAUGUGGUGAAACUAUUGACAGAAAUAAUUUGAAGCGGUCACAAAUCUGUCUUCCUUACUUUACUCCUAAACCACCUUCAGAUACUGCAGUUAUGAAAGCUGGAUAUUGUGUAAAACAAGGAACAGUGAUGAAAAAUGGAAGAGAAGACAUUUUCAACUGGAUAGAAACACAACAGGUUACUUUAGAUCUGAACUGGAAAAGGGACCUCUCCAUGUAAUACCACUUAAAGAGGUUCAUAAAGCCCAGGAACAUAAACCAAGUGACAUAAUGACAAGAGACUACCUCUUUGAAAUUGUAACAUCCUCUGGAACUCUCUAUGUGCAGGCUGAUAGCCCUGAAGAAAUGCACAGUGGGAUUAAAGCAGCCUCAGGUGCCAUUGUAGUACAGCGGGGACCUGGCAGAUCAGCGUCCCCUAGAGAACAUUCCAACAGUCUUUCCAAAUCUAAACACGCUCUCUGCUCUGCCAGUGUGCAGCAGCCACCCCACAUUCCACAGCCUCUUGCAGCAACUCUACUCUGAUCUCAAGUUUUACCAUGGAGAAGCUAGGAUUUUAUGAAUCUCUUGCCAAGUUCAAGCCAUGGAACUUCAAGGUCUACACUAUCUCUCCAAGAGAAUCAGCUUCCAAGGUAACUGAACAAGCUCUGCUAAAACCUUAAAGAAAAAUGAUCCUCAGAAACAAAAUUAUGACCCUGUGGACUUGGAUAAUGCAAGCCUUCCAGUCGGUGAUGUGUGAGGUAGAAACACAUGUAGCCUGAUAUGCUUUUAUCAGCUCUC